AGAUAUACGUAGUUCAGUCAAAAAAAAAUUAGACUUCAAUAGAGCUAUUUUAUCAUGUCAGAGGAGCUGCGCAAAGAGAAAACUAUCCUCUCCUGUAUCUUCUGUCUUCUACUACGCUCUAUCAAUAACUUCGUGAUACUGCGACUUGAGAUACGUAUGUUUAAGAAAUACUCCGAAUUUAGGAAGGUUUUACUUGGCUUUAACGUACAGAAUGUAUGUGCAGAUUAACAGGCUAGAUGAGAAAAUACUUUCCCAUGCAUGCUUCGACGAAUGUAAGAGGA